GCCUGCCAAAGGAUCUAUCAAAUUUUGUGUUCUGCCAGUACUCUUUCUGGGGUCAUGAUGACCCCAUCUCUGUCCCACCAGAGAUACACCCAGACACUAGUAAAAAGGACACCAAAUAUAUCAAGUUUAACCAUGAAAGGGAUUUUAAAGUGUACAUGUCAGAAGAGUUCAUUGAGCAUGCCCAGGAAGGGGCAUUAUCUAUCGAGGUCUGGGGACAUAAAGUUGUUGGGUUUGGUCAGCAGAACUCCCAGGCAGACAGUGUGGCUAGAUCCAACUCUCUUGUUGACAGAUGGCAUGAAGUAACCAGGAAAAUAGAACUGUGAAUUGAGAUACAUGAAGUUAAUGACCAAGGUGAAUAUGCCCCUGUAGAGGUCAAACCUCAGGCUGACGUCCCAGCUGCCGGAGUAUUUCAGCUAAGACAGGGCCAUGCCAGACGUAUACUCACUCGUAUAAAGUCCCGGGGUGACUCAGGCACUCUUCCAUUAAUCUGUGAUAGUAUAAGCUCGCUUGCCAUUGGUUGUAUUUGUGCUCGCUCCAAGAUACAGAAAGGCUUGGACAGUUACCAAGAGGAAGAUCUAGGUCAUUUGAGAGAUCGCUGGAAUGAUGCUUUAUCAAGGAGGCAUAAAUAUCUGGACAGCCAAAUACAGAGUCUUAUAAAUAAAACUGAUAAAACUGAAGAAGACUGUGAUAGAGAAAGCGCAUUAAUAGACCAGUGGGUAUUACUGACUGAGGAAAGAAAUGCUGUGAUGGUUCCCGUAGCAGGCAGUGAAAUUCCAGGGGCACCAGCAGACUGGGAAGCUCCGCCUGACAUGGAACAACAUCGACCAGUGCUCUUUCUGGAUUUAAAUUGUGUGUGCUAUUGCAUCUUGGGUUUCUUCAAUCCAUGACUCGGCCAGGGACUGCGUUUUAGGCGAAGUUGAGCGAAAACUUCGCUUUAAAAUAUUUCACUUCGCCCUUCCCGCCCAGAAAAGCGAAGUUCAAGUCGCCCUAAAAUUGGAUGAAAGGAAAACAUAAUCGGCAAUAAAGUGGGCCGAUAUCAUAUAUCUCGGUUAUGUAAAGUCUGUAAACACAAUACGCAAUACACAGGAUGGCACGCGCGGCGAAACAUGUCCAUGACAACAAAAGAUGAUCACUCGAUUUCAGAUUGACGCCGCAUGAUAAGCUGCUAAUUGUUUACAUUUAAUGUGAUUGCAGUAAACGAUAAUUAAAGAAUGAAAGAGUAAAGCUGACCGACCUCGGAGAUCAGA